GGAAACCAAAAUUGACAAGGACUCAAGUAUGGAAGGCUAUCGGAUUAAGAGGAAAUGAGGAAGUUAUGCACAAACUUGGACGUGCGAGGUAAAUCCUCAAUUUUGGCGACUUGGAGAAUCGGAGCGAGCACGAGUUCAUGUUAUGCCAUACCAAACGCUUCCACUAGCUUGUUCAAAUGUUUUUGAUCCAAAAUUUGUUGUAUUGGUUUUUAGUAGUUUCUUGUUGAACGAAUUGUAGAAUUGUAUCUAGUUUGUUUAUGUUUAAAACAGGGGUAUGCUCGUUUUAUGGACGGGUCAUGCCUGAUUUUUGUUAAA